ACAUGCAAGUCGAGCGGACCGACGGGAGCUUGCUCCCUUAGGUCAGCGGCGGACGGGUGAGUAACACGUGGGUAACCUGCCUGUAAGACUGGGAUAACUCCGGGAAACCGGGGCUAAUACCGGAUGCUUGAUUGAACCGCAUGGUUCAAUCAUAAAAGGUGGCUUUCAGCUACCACUUGCAGAUGGACCCGCGGCGCAUUAGCUAGUUGGUGAGGUAACGGCUCACCAAGGCGACGAUGCGUAGCCGACCUGAGAGGGUGAUCGGCCACACUGGGACUGAGACACGGCCCAGACUCCUACGGGAGGCAGCAGUAGGGAAUCUUCCGCAAUGGACGAAAGUCUGACGGAGCAACGCCGCGUGAGUGAUGAAGGUUUUCGGAUCGUAAAACUCUGUUGUUAGGGAAGAACAAGUACCGUUCGAAUAGGGCGGUACCUUGACGGUACCUAACCAGAAAGCCACGGCUAACUACGUGCCAGCAGCCGCGGUAAUACGUAGGUGGCAAGCGUUGUCCGGAAUUAUUGGGCGUAAAGCGCGCGCAGGCGGUUUCUUAAGUCUGAUGUGAAAGCCCCCGGCUCAACCGGGGAGGGUCAUUGGAAACUGGGGAACUUGAGUGCAGAAGAGGAGAGUGGAAUUCCACGUGUAGCGGUGAAAUGCGUAGAGAUGUGGAGGAACACCAGUGGCGAAGGCGACUCUCUGGUCUGUAACUGACGCUGAGGCGCGAAAGCGUGGGGAGCGAACAGGAUUAGAUACCCUGGUAGUCCACGCCGUAAACGAUGAGUGCUAAGUGUUAGAGGGUUUCCGCCCUUUAGUGCUGCAGCAAACGCAUUAAGCACUCCGCCUGGGGAGUACGGUCGCAAGACUGAAACUCAAAGGAAUUGACGGGGGCCCGCACAAGCGGUGGAGCAUGUGGUUUAAUUCGAAGCAACGCGAGAAC
rnacentral:rRNA from 1 species